ACGGUCUUCCUUGGUGAGCGGUUUUGGUGUGUUUUGUGAAAUUGAAGACGCAGCGGGAUUAGAGCGGGUAAUCUUGCAGGUUAGGAGAAUCAGGGCGGUGAUCGUGCGGGUUAGAGUAAUUGUUAUAGUUUUACAGUGAUUGUAAUAGUGAGGUGAGUGAUGCUCAAUUUGAGCUUUACAUAUUUACUUUGUAUAAGUGAGUUGUAAUAAUUAUUUUGAGAUUUGAAAUUUGAGUGACUUGUGUUCUAGUUGA